UACAGAGGGUGCUAGCGUUGUUCGGAAUCACUGGGCGUAAAGCGCGUGUAGGCGGCGGGGUGUGUCCUGUGUGAAAGCCCUUGGCUCAACCAAGGAAGUGCAUGGGAAACUACUCUGCUGGAGUGCGAAAGAGGGUGGCGGAAUUCCUGGUGUAGAGGUGAAAUUCGUAGAUACCAGGAGGAACACCGGCGGCGAAGGCGGCCACCUGGGUCGUAACUGACGCUGAUACGCGACAGCGUGGGGAGCAAACAGG
rnacentral:rRNA from 1 species